rnacentral:rRNA from 1 species
GACGAACGCUGGCGGCGUGCCUAAUACAUGCAAGUUGAGCGAUGAAGAUUGGUGCUUGCACCAAUUUGAAGAGCAGCGAACGGGUGAGUAACGCGUGGGGAAUCUACCUUUGAGCGGGGGACAACAUUUGGAAACGAAUGCUAAUACCGCAUAACAACUUUAAACAUAAGUUUUAAGUUUGAAAGAUGCAAUUGCAUCACUCAAAGAUGAUCCCGCGUUGUAUUAGCUAGUUGGUGAGGUAAAGGCUCACCAAGGCGAUGAUACAUAGCCGACCUGAGAGGGUGAUCGGCCACAUUGGGACUGAGACACGGCCCAAACUCCUACGGGAGGCAGCAGUAGGGAAUCUUCGGCAAUGGACGAAAGUCUGGCCGAGCAACGUCGCGUGAGUGAAGAAGGUUUUCGGAUCGUAAAACUCUGUUGGUAGAGAAGAACGUUGGUGAGAGUGGAAAGCUCAUCAAGUGACGGUAACUACCCAGAAAGGGACGGCUAACUACGUG